rnacentral:misc_RNA from 1 species
GCAAACUUGGUCAUUUAGAGGAAGUAAAAGUCGUAACAAGGUUUCCGUAGGUGAACCUGCGGAAGGAUCAUUAUCGAAUGCAAUAUGGGGAUGUUGCUGGCUUUUAUGCAAGUGCACUCCUCUAUUCCAUAUAUAUCCACCUGUGCACAUGAAGUAGGCAUAUAGAUUGAGUUCUAUUGCCUAUGUUUUCUCAUUCACACCUGUGAAAGAUUGUAUUAUGUUCAUAAAUAAAUAUGACAACUUUCAACAAUGGAUCUCUUGGUUCUCGCAUCGAUGAAGAACGCAGC